rnacentral:lncRNA from 1 species
UUGACUUUAUUACUAAAAAUUGAUUUAAUGUCAGAAAGAUAAGUUUUCUUAGAUUAUGAAAGAUGUUUAGUAAAGAUUUCGGAUGUAAUUUUCCUCAUACUGUUAGCGUCAUUAGCCAGAAUGUGGAAAGUAACACCAGAACUCAUUUUGAUUGAGAUUCAAGAAAUGGUUUUGAUUUUAUUACUAAAAAUUGAUUUAAUGUCAGAAAGAUAAGUUUUCUAAGUUAAUGAAAAAAGGUUGAAUAAAAAUUUUCGGAUGUUUUUUUCCUUAUGCUGUUAGCGUCAUUAGCCAGAAUUUAGUAAGUUAUCUGAAACUUGUUCAUUUGAAUCCUUUCCUGCAUAUAUAUUUUUAUAUUUUAGCUCAUCUGACCUAAAAGGUCAAGUGAGCUUUUCUCAUCAAUUUGCGUGCAUCCUCCGUUAACUUUUUACAUUUUUAACUUCUUCUAGAGAACCACUGAAUGGACACCAAAUAUGGCAUAAAUGUUCCAAGUGUUGUUACUUUGUAGCCAAUCCAUCAUCAAAGAUGGCCACCAGAGGGGGGCUUAGUUUAACAUAGGACCCUAUGGGAAAUACAAAUGUCUUCUGUUAGAGAACAACCAAAUUGAAUGAAACCAAACAUGACAUGAAUUAUCUUAUGAGGUGCUGACCAAGUGUUGUUACUUUGUAUCUGAUCCAUCACCCAAUAUGGCCGCCAUCAGGGACCUAGUUUAACAUAGGAUCCCAUGGAAAAUGCAUACAGUCUUCUUUUACAGAACCACUAAAUGGAAUGAAACCUAACAUAUAAUGAAUGUUCCUUAUAAGGUGCUGACUAAGUAUUGUUACUUUGUAGUCGAUUCCAUAAUCCAAGAUGGCCGCCAGCAUGGGAAUUAGUUUAACAAAGGAACCUAUAGGAAAUACAUGCAAAUCUCCUUUUUAGAGAAGCACCAAAUGGUAUGAAACCAAACAUGGCAUGAAUGUUCUUUAUGAAGUGCUGACCAAGUGUUAAUUUGUAUCUGAUCCAUCACCCAAUAUGGCCGCCAUCAGGAACCUAGUUUAACAUAGGAUCCCAUGGAAAAUACAUACAUUCUUCUUUUAGAGAACCACUAAAUGGAAUGAAAC